rnacentral:rRNA from 1 species
AUUGUAAGAAUUAUUAUUUUUAUAAAAAUUAAUUUAUAUUUAAAGUAAAUAUAUUGAGUUUUUAUUAAUAAGUUUGAAUAAAUAGUAGGUAAUUAUAGAUAAUUAGUAUUGUAAAAGAAUUUAUUUUAAAUAUUAAAAAGAAAAAUUAAUUUUUUGUACCUUGUGUAUCAGGGUUUAUUUAUUAAUAAUUAAAAAUUUAAUUUUCUCGAAUUAAUAAGAGUUAUGAUUUUAUAUUUUUUUUUGUAGAAUAAAAAUUAUUAAUAAAGUUAUAGAGGUGAAACGUUAUUCGAUUAUUAAUAUAUCUAGUUUUUAAAGAAAAAAAUUUAAUUUUUUUAUUAAAUAGUAUAAAAUUAAAUUUUUAAUUUUAUAUUAUUAAUAUUUUAUAUUUUAAGGGAUGAGCUUUAAAGUAGAUUUUUUUUAAAAUUUUUAUAUUUAUUAAUUAAGUAGGAUUAUAAGUUUUUAUCUUUAAGAGUGUAUUAUUACUAUUUUAACUAAAAAUAUUAUUUAUAUUUAAAUUUUAAAAUGUUUUAUUUAAAUAAAAAUUUAAUUUUAAAAAGUUUUGAAUUAAUGAUAAAAUUAGUAUAAUUUAAUGUUUAUUUUUAUUAUAAUUGUAAGGUUAGAUAAAGGAAUUCGGCAAAUUUAUUUUUCACCUGUUUAUUAAAAACAUGGCCUUUUGAUUAUAAUUUAAGGUCUGACCUGCCCAAUGAGUAUUUAAAUGGCCGCGGUAUUUUGACCGUGCAAAGGUAGCAUAAUCAUUAGUUUUUUAAUUGAAAGCUGGAAUGAAAGGUUUGAUGAGAAAAUAACUGUCUCUAUUUAAAUUUUUUAGAAUUUUAUUUUUAAGUAAAAAAGCUUAAAUAAAAAUAGAAGACGAGAAGACCCUAUAGAGUUUUAUUAAAUUUUUAUUAUGAAAUUAGAAGAAUUUAAUUUUUUAUAGGAAAUUUUAAUUUGGUUGGGGUGAUUAAAAAAUUAAAAGAACUUUUUUUUUAUAUAAACAUUAAUUUAUGAAAAUUUGAUCCUUUAUUUAAGAUUAGAAGAUUAAAUUACCUUAGGGAUAACAGCGUAAUUUUUUUUGAGAGUUCAAAUCGAAAGAAAAGUUUGCGACCUCGAUGUUGGAUUAAAAUAAAAUUUUGGUGUAGAAGCUAAAAUAUUUAGGUCUGUUCGACCUUUAAAAUUUUACAUGAUCUGAGUUUAAACCGGCGUGAGCCAGGUUGGUUUCUAUCUCUAUUUAAAUAAAAUAUUUUAGUACGAAAGGACCAAAUAUUUAAUUAAAAAUUUUAAUUAAGAAUAUUAGUAAUUAA